GAAAGCGGUCGGCAGCGAACGAACGAAGCUACUGGCAGACCCAAAACAAACAUCAGCUGAUGAAGGUGAAUGCCUACGGGGCAUACAAACAAAACAACGGACAGCCCCUCGCCUGGCCACAUCUGAUGGUGAAAUUCAAGAGAAUAUGAGGAUGUUGAUGAUUGGCAAUAAAUCUGUGCUGCGUUCGAACAGAUAAUGGGCAACUCUCAAUCACGACCCGUGUGUGUGUGUGAUGCGCGUAAAAGCGCACGAAAGAAAAGAAAAAUGGCCGAACAAUGCGGACCUUUUGAUCGUGACAUUUCUCGAAUAGGCAAUGUUGCAUUUUUCAAAAAAAAAUAAAGAAAAGUUAUAUCGAAGUGAGAAAUACUUGCGCAAGUGGCGAAAUUGCGAUGGCCGAAUAGCUUUCCUCCUUUCCUUUUUCUCAUUCGAAAUUCACGUGUAUUAUGAAUACAAUGGCUGUCCUUUAACAAGCAUCCAAAUAACCCCCUCCACCCACCGAAAAGGCUGUCCAACGUUCAUUUCUGGCCACUUUUAUUCCGCAAGAGCACAACAACUCAUUUGAAUAUUGAUCUCGGGGUAACAUCGAGAGUUUCUAUUGAUGCGUUGCGCAACCGACUCCUUCGCUUUGCGGCCAAAGGAAAGAAGAAGGUGAAAUCAUCACACACGACCGCUGUGACGCGUCACCGAUGCUGUGUGUGUUUUUUUUCACGCGGCUCACGAUAUCGACAACACCCUGUCAUUCGUUCUCUUUUACCUUCGUGCAACGGCUGUCUUGCCAUUUGAUUUUUCUUUGACUAUAUUUUAAAAAUCGACAAGAUUCCCGCCAAAUAAAAAAAUAAAUAAAAUGUGUCACCGAUGUGUAUCAGUUUCUUUCUGUUUUUGGGCGGGAUGGCGACACGAAUCUAUCGGCCAUCUCUUCGUGUCACGUUCGUUUUCCCGUUGGAGAGAAAAAUGCGAUGUUCGAAACUUGAGGGCGAGCGGUGAUAUGGCGCCGCUUGUACUACAUAAUCAUAAUAAUCACACGAAGGUCACAGACGCUUUCUCCCGCUGCUGUCCGUUACCUGGUUCCACACGUAGCUAAUCGCUGCGAGAGAGAAACACACACAAUUGAGAUGUUAAAAGUGCCCCCCUUUUUUUUUUAGUUUUCUCUUAUAAGGGUACAGAAACAUUAAAUGUUUUGCAACACAGUUGGGGUUAUAAUUAAUUGUUUCCUACUAUAACUGGACAUUUU